rnacentral:rRNA from 1 species
UACGUAGGGUGCAAGCGUUAAUCGGAAUUACUGGGCGUAAAGCGUGCGCAGGCGGUUUUGUAAGUUUGUCGUGAAAUCCCCGGGCUUAACCUGGGAAUUGCGAUGAAGACUGCAAGGCUAGAAUCUGGCAGAGGGGGGUAGAAUUCCACGUGUAGCAGUGAAAUGCGUAGAGAUGUGGAGGAAUACCGAUGGCGAAGGCAGCCCCCUGGGAUAACACUGACGCUCAUGCACGAAAGCGUGGGGAGCAAACAGG